rnacentral:rRNA from 1 species
GGACUUCUGGCUUCGUAGGUGACCUGCGGAGGUCAUUA